rnacentral:tRNA from 1 species
AAGUUAAAAGCUUAUUUUAAAGCAUUGAAUUUUUAAUUCAAAGAAGGGAUUACUUCCCUUAACUU